rnacentral:sRNA from 1 species
CCCUAGCCCCGAUUAAAGUGAAAAUCCUUUUUAUUUUUAUUUAAAAAUAAAAAGAUUGCAACGGAAAGCGGGAAAUAGC